UACGAAGGGGGCUAGCGUUGUUCGGAAUUACUGGGCGUAAAGCGCGCGCAGGCGGUUUCUCAAGUCAGUGGUGAAAGCCCGGAGCUCAACUCCGGAACUGCCAUUGAAACUGUGAAACUUGAGGACGAGAGAGGUGAGUGGAAUUCCCAGUGUAGAGGUGAAAUUCGUAGAUAUUGGGAAGAACACCGGUGGCGAAGGCGGCGACCUGGUCCGAUACUGACGCUGAGGCGCGAAAGCGUGGGGAGCAAACAGG
rnacentral:rRNA from 1 species